GGGAAAAAUACUUGGGAAAACACCUAAGUAACAGACAACUAUUUCUGGCUAUUUAUAGACAUUUAAAAUAAACAGCUGAUAUGGUAGUGCCAUGAAAGUAGUAAAACUUGGUGUAUCUAUAUUAAUUUAAUUUGGAAAAGGGUGUAGAGGGGAAGGGGUUAAUUUGUAAAGUUAUUUUUUUUUUUGUAAUUUACUAAAUUUUGGUUACUAAAAAUGACCAGACAAAUUCUUUAAGUUAAUCAUUUUAAAUAGUCCAUUCAUAUUUAAAAAAAAAAACCAACCUAUCACCCUGAUCUUUGUUAUGGAACUCUGGCUUUGGCAAACCAACAUUUUUUUCAAUGUGGUCCCACAUCAAGAAUAUGAUAGACCCAGAAAGAAGUCUGUUACAUGUAUAUAUUUUGAACAAUAACUAUUAAGAGGUCAUUAAACUAGUAUUUUUUAAAUGAAUCCAUUUUAUAGAAAUUGCCUGUUUAUGUUAAGUAAGUGCCCUAAAAUUGUUGUCUAUCGCGCUUAAUGUGCCCUCUGAGCUAACAAUUACCCUGCCCUUUUUAAAAGCUGCAGGAAACACUAUUCCAAAUUAGGCCACAAUUAAAAAUAUUUUGGUUUGCCCAAACCCUACCCAAGGUUGAGACAGUGGGUAGGUAGGUAGGCAUUUUUUUUUUUUUUUUUUUAAAGAAAUUGAAGUAUCAGAUGUUUAUUAGUCUUCAUGCCUAUCUGAUUAAAAAAAAAAACUUCUUCAAAUCAGGCCAAUAAGAGAAUUUGAGUAGGCAGCUUUUUUCUGGGUAGGUAGGGUUUGGGCAAACAAACCUAUUCUUUUUU
rnacentral:lncRNA from 1 species